rnacentral:rRNA from 1 species
CAUGUGGAGCGCUUAGAAGUGAGAAUGCCGGUGUGAGUAGCGAAAGACGGGUGAGAAUCCCGUCCACCGAUUGACUAAGGUUUCCAGAGGAAGGCUCGUCCGCUCUGGGUUAGUCGGGUCCUAAGCUGAGGCCGACAGGCGUAGGCGAUGGAUAACAGGUUGAUAUUCCUGUACCACCAUUAUUCGUUUUAAGCGAUGGGGGGACGCAGUAGGAUAGGCGAAGCGUGCUGUUGGAGUGCACGUCCAAGCAGUGAGAUUGAGUGUUAGGCAAAUCCGGCACUCUUAAGAUUGAGCUGUGAUGGGGAGAGGAACUUGUUCCUCGAGUCGUUGAUUUCACACUGCCGAGAAAAGCCUCUAGCUAGAAUAACGGUGCCCGUACCGCAAACCGACACAGGUAGUCAAGAUGAGAAUUCUAAGGUGAGCGAGCGAACUCUCGUUAAGGAACUCGGCAAAAUGACCCCGUAACUUCGGGAGAAGGGGUGCUCUUUGAGGUUCACGCUUCGAAGAGCCGCAGUGAAUAGGCCCAAGCGACUGUUUAUCAAAAACACAGGUCUCUGCUAAACCGUAAGGUGACGUAUAGGGGCUGACGCCUGCCCGGUGCUGGAAGGUUAAGAGGAGUGGUUAGCGCAAGCGAAGCUACGAAUCGAAGCCCCAGUAAACGGCGGCCGUAACUAUAACGGUCCUAAGGUAGCGAAAUUCCUUGUCGGGUAAGUUCCGACCCGCACGAAAGGCGUAACGAUUUGGGCACUGUCUCAACGAGAGACUCGGUGAAAUCAUAGUACCGGUGAAGAUGCCGGUUACCCGCGACAGGACGGAAAGACCCCGUGGAGCUUUACUGUAGCCUGAUAUUGAAAUUCGGUACAGUUUGUACAGGAUAGGUAGGAGCCUUAGAAGCGUGAGCGCUAGCUUACGUGGAGGCAUUGGUGGGAUACUACCCUAAUUGUAUUGGAUUUCUAACCCGCAGCACUUAUCGUGCUGGGAGACAGUGUCAGGCGGGCAGUUUGACUGGGGCGGUCGCCUCCUAAAGAGUAACGGAGGCGCUCAAAGGUUCCCUCAGAAUGGUUGGAAAUCAUUCAUAGAGUGUAAAGGCAUAAGGGAGCUUGACUGCGAGACCUACAAGUCGAGCAGGGUCGAAAGACGGACUUAGUGAUCCGGUGGUUCCGCAUGGAAGGGCCAUCGCUCAACGGAUAAAAGCUACCCCGGGGAUAACAGGCUUAUCUCCCCCAAGAGUUCACAUCGACGGGGAGGUUUGGCACCUCGAUGUCGGCUCAUCGCAUCCUGGGGCUGUAGUCGGUCCCAAGGGUUGGGCUGUUCGCCCAUUAAAGCGGUACGCGAGCUGGGUUCAGAACGUCGUGAGACAGUUCGGUCCCUAUCCGUCGUGGGCGUAGGAAAUUUGAGAGGAGCUGUCCUUAGUACGAGAGGACCGGGAUGGACAUACCUCUGGUGUACCAGUUGUCGUGCCAACGGCAUAGCUGGGUAGCUAUGUAUGGACGGGAUAAGUGCUGAAAGCAUCUAAGCAUGAAGCCCCCCU